rfam:Sus scrofa chromosome X.
CUGUGAGCAGUGCCCAACCCAGGGAGGUGCUGUUCACCUAGACUGCAUGUGAACAGGGCCUUUCUGGGUCGAGUAAUGCUCAACGA